AGGGCACCACCAGGAGUGGAGCCUGCGGCUUAAUUUGACUCAACACGGGAAAACUCACCCGGCCCGGACACUGUAAGGAUUGACAGAUUGAUAGCUCUUUCUUAAUUCAGUGGAUGGUGGUGCAUGGCCGUUCUUAGUUGGUGGACUGAUUUGUCUGGUUAAUUCCGAUAACGAACGAGACUCUCGCCUACUAAAUAGACGGCGUAUCGAAACGUACGCCGAGCCUCUUAGAGGGACAAGCGGCGCCUAGCCGCAUGAAACAGAGCAAUAACAGGUCUGUGAUGCCCUUAGAUGUCCGGGGCUGCACGCGCGCUACACUGAAAGAAUCAGCGUGCAUUGAACCUAGUUCGGAAGAACCGGGUAACCCAAGUAAAUUCUUUCGUGCUUGGGAUAGGGAAUUGCAAUUAUUUCCCUUAAACGAGGAAUUCCCAGUAAAUGCGGGUCAUAAGCUCGCGUUGAUUACGUCCCUGCCCUUUGUACACACCGCCCGUCGCUACUACCGAUUGGAUGACUUAGUGA
rnacentral:rRNA from 1 species